GGACUUGAAAAUAUACACUGAUAUUGUAAAAGCACUAUUUUACAAUAUCCAACAGGUGUAAACAACUCAAAUAUCCAUUGAGAACAAAAGGCAGUAUAUCCUUACAAUGGAAUAUUAUCCAGCCAUUAAAAAAGUUCCAUUCCGUGCUACAAGGGUAAACCUUGAAAAAUUAUGCUAAGACAAAUAAGCUAGACACAAAAAGUCAAGUAUUGUAUUAUUCUACUUAUAUGAAAUAUCUAGAAUAGGUAUAUUGAUAGAGACAGAAAGUAGGUUAGAUGUUACCAGGAACUGGGGAAGGGACAAUGGGAAGCUAUUGGUUAAUGGGUGAAGAGGGAUUAAGAAUACACUUAUAGUGAUGAGCAUUGAAAUAUGUAUAGGAUUGUUGAAUCAUUUAUUGAACACCUGAAACUAAUAUAACACUGUAUAUUAAUUUUAAGUGAAUUAAAA